CGUGAGUAACCUGCCUUGGAGUGGGGAAUAACAAUUGGAAACAACUGCUAAUACCGCAUGAUGCAGUUGGGUCGCAUGGCUCUGACUGCCAAAGAUUUAUCGCUCUGAGAUGGACUCGCGUCUGAUUAGCUAGUUGGUGAGGUAACGGCUCACCAAGGCGACGAUCAGUAGCCGGACUGAGAGGUUGGCCGGCCACAUUGGGACUGAGACACGGCCCAAACUCCUACGGAAGGCAGCAG
rnacentral:rRNA from 1 species